rnacentral:rRNA from 1 species
GACGAACGCUGGCGGCGUGCUUAACACAUGCAAGUCGAACGGUAAGGCCCUUCGGGGUACACGAGUGGCGAACGGGUGAGUAACACGUGGGUGAUCUGCCCUGCACUUCGGGAUAAGCCUGGGAAACUGGGUCUAAUACCGGAUAGGACCCUGGGAUGCAUGUACUGGGGUGGAAAGCUUUUGCGGUGUUGGAUGGGCCCGCGGCCUAUCAGCUUGUUGGUGGGGUGAUGGCCUACCAAGGCGACGACGGGUAGCCGGCCUGAGAGGGUGACCGGCCACACUGGGACUGAGAUACGGCCCAGACUCCUACGGGAGGCAGCAGUGGGGAAUAUUGCACAAUGGGCGCAAGCCUGAUGCAGCGACGCCGCGUGAGGAAUGACGGCCUUCGGGUUGUAAACCUCUUUCAGCACCGACGAAGCGCAAGUGGCGGUAGGUGCAGAAGAAGGACCGGCCAACUACGUGCCAGCAGCCGCAGUAA